GACGAACGCUGGCGGCGUGCUUAACACAUGCAAGUCGAACGGAAAGGCCCUGCUUUUGUGGGGUGCUCGAGUGGCGAACGGGUGAGUAACACGUGAGUAACCUGCCCUUGACUUUGGGAUAACUUCAGGAAACUGGGUCUAAUAUCGCAUAGGAGCUCCUGCUGCAUGGUGUGGGUUGGAAAGUUUCGGCGGUUGGUGAUGGACUGGCGGCUUAUCAGCUUGUUGGUGGGGUAGUGGCUUACCAAGGCUUUGACGGGUAGCCGGCCAGAGGGGGUGACCGGCCACAUUGGGAAUGAGAUACGGCCGAGACUCCUACGGGGGGCAGCAGUGGGGAAUAUCGCACAAUGGGCGGAAGCCUGAUGCAGCAACGCGGCGUGCGGGAUGACGGCCUUCGGGUUGUAAACCGCUUUCGCUUGUGACGAAGCGUGAGUGACGGUAAUGGGUAAAGAAGCACCGGCUAACUACGU
rnacentral:rRNA from 1 species